AAGAAACAAAGAACCCCACGAUAGUUAUGGUGACUACCCGUCGCAGUGGAUACAAACCGCAUUCCCCCAAACGCCAAAAAUAAGGCUAAAAAGAAUGGAGGUGUAUCGGACAAUGUGAUUAAGCCAAAUAAAAAACAACAUAGAGAAAAUACAAAAGGAUUGAAUGUGGAUCCGCCGGAAAAUGCUGCUGGAACUUCGCAGCUUGAAGACGAAGGCGACGAGGUUGUUAGUGCUACUGUUGCUGAAGUUGCAAUUUCAAAGAGGAAAGAUGAACCAGCCCAUUAUAAGUUGAAGAUCGAGUCUUUCUCUCUUCUUGCUGAAGUUACAUAUAUCAAAAUUGAAUCUGAUGUUUUUAUGGCCAGCGGUAUGAAGUGGAGACUAGAUUUGUAUCCAAAUGGAAAUGAUGAGAAAAGUGGUGAUAACAACAUAUCUUUGUAUCUUGUGAUAUGUGACACUGAAAGCUUUCCAAAGGGGUGGGAGGUCUUUGUUGAUGUUACUUUUUUUGUUUAUGAUCAUGAAAACCAUAACUAUGCAACUUUUCAAGAUAGCAAUGGCCAUGGGAACAGGACAAGGUUUAAUGAGAGUAAGAAAAUCUGGGGGUUUGACCAACUAAUAUCACUCGAGUCUUUCAAGGAGAGUAAAAUGGGUACUUGUCGAAUGAUGCGUGUGUGUUUGGAGUUGAGGUUUUUCGUGUUUUGAAGUUUACGCAAUUUGAUCGAUGCUUAUCAUUUAUAAAGCCCCCGGCAGCUACCAACACCUACACUUGGAGAAUUGAUAAAUUUUCAAAUGUGACGCAGAAAUGUAUUUAUUCAGAUGUCUUCAAAAUUGGCAAUCUGAAGUGGAAAAUACUUCUUUAUCCAAAAGGAAUUGAUGAAGGGAAAGAUACUCAUUUAUCCAUCUUUUUACGAGUACGUGACCAUGCUCCGUUUCCGCUUGGGUGGCAAAUUUAUGCAAAUUUUAAGCGUCGAGUGAAGAAUCAAACUUAUAAUGGCGAUAUAGAGGAAGAUUCUAUUGGCUCGUUCAGUAGCUCUGCUGUUGAUUGGGGUUCUUCUAGUUUUGCGGAACUGAAUGAGCUCCAUGAAUCAGAAAAUGGCUUCCUGGUGAAUGAUGUUCUUAUUGUGGAAGUCGAGAUCUCACUGUUGGGUACACUAAAAAGUUUCAUCUGAUCAAAUAAUGGUGUUGGUUAAGUAUGGUAGUUGUAGAAUUAUUGUUUUUAGAGAUGGAUACUGUAUUUGUAAUCGACUCAAACUGUAUCCUAAUCAUCCAGCGAUCUUGAUUGCCCUCCACAGUGAUUGAACCCAACUGUUGACGCAAACUCGUAGAGUACUAAUUAGCUGGCUCUCUUCAGCUGCAUCUCAUGACGCCACAUCGUUCCAUCUAUAAGCCACAACUCCAAAGUAGGAGAUCAAAUGCACACCUACUGAUCCAAACCCGACCAGUUCCUCCAAACCCCACCCAGACCAAUAAUUUGAUGUAACAAUUUCGUUUUUUCCUCCACCGUGUGAAAUAGCUCCAGGAACAAUAUAGCCAAGGGUUUUUCACCCAUAGAUCCGUGUUUAAC